GAUGAACGCUGGCGGCGUGCCUAAUACAUGCAAGUCGAGCGAACAGACGAGGAGCUUGCUCCUCUGACGUUAGCGGCGGACGGGUGAGUAACACGUGGAUAACCUACCUAUAAGACUGGGAUAACUUCGGGACACCGGAGCUAAUACCGGAUAAUAUAUUGAACCGCAUGGUUCAAUAGUGAAAGACGGUUUUGCUGUCACUUAUAGAUGGAUCCGCGCCGCAUUAGCUAGUUGGUAAGGUAACGGCUUACCAAGGCGACGAUGCGUCGCCGACCUGAGAGGGUGAUCGGCCACACGGGAACUGAGACACGGUCCAGACUCCUACGGGAGGCAGCAGUAGGGAAUCUUCCGCAAUGGGCGAAAGCAUGACGGAGCAACGCCGCGUGAGUGAUGAAGGUCUUCGGAUCGUAAAACUCUGUUAUUAGGGAAGAACAAAUGUGUAAGUAACUAUGCACGUCUUGACGGUACCUAAUCAGAAAGCCACGGCUAACUACGUG
rnacentral:rRNA from 1 species